UACGGAGGGUGCGAGCGUUGUCCGGAAUCACUGGGCGUAAAGGGCGCGUAGGCGGCCUGAUAAGUCGGGGGUGAAAUCUUGCGGCUUAACCGCAAGGCUGCCUUCUAAACUGUCGGGCUAGAGCACAGUAGAGGCAGGUGGAAUUCCCGGUGUAGCGGUGGAAUGCGUAGAGAUCGGGAAGGACAUCAGUGGCGAAGGCGGCCUGCUGGGCUGUUGCUGACGCUGAGGCGCGACAGCGUGGGGAGCAAACAGG
rnacentral:rRNA from 1 species